GCAAAAGUUGUCAAUCUCCUGUGGGCAAAGAAAUUAUAGAAGUUAUAGAACAGUUGGGCAGUGACAACCAGAUUCUUCUCUCAAUAAAAGGCAAGGAAUGCUGCAAGAUCCUCCAAUUAUUAUGGUUGAGUUAAGAAAGUGCAACAUUGUAAAAUUUUAGAACAUCUAUAAAAAGGGGAUCCAGGGGAAUUCGUACCUCUGCCCGUAGGCG
rnacentral:misc_RNA from 1 species